rnacentral:rRNA from 1 species
AUUGAACGCUGGCGGCAGGCCUAACACAUGCAAGUCGAACGAGCGGCGGACGGGUGAGUAAGGUCUGGGAAACUGCCUGAUGGAGGGGGAUAACUACUGGAAACGGUAGAUAAUACCGCAUACCAUCAGAUGUGCCCAGAUGGGAUUAGCUAGUGUGUGGGGUAACGGCUCACCAAGGCGACGAGCCCUAGCUGGUCUGAGAGGAGUACCAGCCACACUGGAACUGAGACACGGCCCAGACUCCGACGGGAGGCAGCAGUGGGGAAUAUGGGACAAUGGGCGAAAGCCUGAUGCAGCAAUGCCGAGUGUGUGAAGAAGGUCUUCGGGUUGUAAAGUACUGUCAGCGGGGAGGCGUUACCUGCAGAAGAAGCACCGGCUAACUCCGUGCCAGCAGCCGCGGUAAUUC